rnacentral:tRNA from 1 species
AAAAAAGAAAAAGCUGAGACGCAAAGCAGGGCUGCUAACUUUGUUUUGGGUAUUUAGACGUACCCUUUUUC